UACGGCAUUCUUAGGAGUUGGGAAGCAAAACGUAUUUCUACUGCUGCUCCAUGCUUUUAGACAUCCCGAAAGUGAGAGAGGAGGUAGAGUGCAACCUAAUUAGGAGAUUAUAAAUCAUCUGACAAAAAUUAUCUUAGUGUAGUUAAAUGGUUAAUUAUAUUAUUAACAGUUACAGCUAGUGGAAUAUUGUCUGCUACAUCAUAUAUUUGAAACGUAAGUAGGAUUAUGAUGUGGUUUAUUUCGUCUUUUAGGACAGCAUCAGCUUGUUGCUGGAGGCAGUAAGGACCCGGAAUGAAGAUCUUGCUCAGACCUGGAAAAAAUCUGAACAGUGGGCUACCAUUGAGCAGCUUUGCAGCACAGUUGGCAUUCAGUUGCCAGGACUCCAAGAAUAUGGUGCCAUGGGCAGUUCAACACAUGCAACAACAUCCUCAAUGUGGGCCUGUCAGCACUGCACCUUCAUGAACCAGCCAGGCACAGAUCAUUGUGAGAUGUGUAGCCUCCCACGUAGCUAGGCCCUGUUUGGCUUGGCAUUCGGGGCGGCUGUUACAGACCAACUGGCAGAAAUACAGAGGCAAACCUUUAGCCAGGCAGGGCUGUUCUUCCUCCUGGGAUGAUGCGCUGUGUGGGGCGGGGCAGAACAGGAAAGGGGGGGAAUGACCCAUAUCACAGGUAUUCAGUGCCAUUUACAGGGUGGCAGCUUGCAGUUGGAACAGGAUGUCCCAGUGGGAGAAAAUAAGAUGGCCCCACUGUGCUGCCUUGUCUUUUCUUUGCUCUCAGUAUUGUAGAAAGCCAGAGGUCCUGCUUCCCUUGAGCUGCAGUUGCACAGGUGGCUCAUUGGCUCUGUGGGCUCAUGGCAGCGUGGCCAUGUCCCCCUGUUAGCUUGCAUGCCACAAGCUUUCCCCGCCUUAAGCUAGUCAAUGAGGCUAGGCAGUAGUGUUGAAGGGAUGACUUGGUCUCCCAGGGCUAGCUUGUGUAAUGUUGUUCUCUUGACAUGCUUUGCAUUUAGCCCCAGAGUUUCUGGGUCACUGGUGCCUGAGUCAGAUCGGUCCACUCUCUCAUCACAGCUUCCAAAUUGAGUGACCUGCAGUAGCAGGACAUGCUGUGGCUUUAGAGCCCCAGGCUAAACCUUGGUGCUGGAGAGGAGAGAGAACAUCUUUCUCAACCAGGCAGGGAUGACCCUGGUUGCCUCUUCAUACAUUUCUUGUCCUACUCAGCUAGAACGGCAGCAGAUUAAAGCAAUUCCCUGAGCUCCUCAUCUGCGGCUAGGCCAGAGACAAGAUGGUUCUCAUCCAAGUCUGGCCAUGGGAAGCAUAUACUCUUGCUUCCUGAUUUGGAACCUUACGGCAGCUUCAUUCCAGCUGUGUCAGGACUGGGAAGGCAACAGUUCACAAGCAGCUACUUUUCCCAAGUCUCCAUACACUAUUUUCCCUUUAUAUUUAAAGCAAUUUCCUGGGAUCUGUAGCUAUGAGCAGACAAAAUGUCUAGGCAUUUUAUUCAUGUCUAUUAACGACUAUACAUGAUCACCACAACAAAGUUAAAUGGGGCAUAUAUUGGAAUUGGAGCUUUGUCUUACCUCACUGAAAUCCAAGCAUAUUGCAGUAGAAAUGACCUUGCCUCUAGAAUACAACCCUGCCUACUGUUCAAAUAAUCCUAUCUUAGCUGUGCCUCCUGUUCCUUAUUUCUUCUGAUACCUGGGCUCCUCCAUUCAAAGGUAUCCAAAGAUGUUUUUUCAUUAUCCAGAAUUCCUGGUAUCUCUGCUAGGAUUGUUUUAUGUUAAGGCACAUUUGAUUCCCCUUGUAGUAGUAUUCUGCACAACAAGCCUAUAAUUGCCCUGGCAGAUCCCUCAACCUUAGGGGGAAAGAGGCCUUCACCUCACCUCUCUGGUUCUGUGGACAGGGCCUCCUGUUUCUGUCCUUCCACAGUUUUUAGGUAUUCACCACCACCACAAAAUGUGCCUCCGUCCCAGCUCCCAUUUUCAUUAUGGGCAUGUAGGACUGGGCUCCAAACAACUGCUGCGAGGGAUGUGGUCUUUGCCUUUCAAGGCAGUUGUAGCUGGGGCUCAGUCAAGUGUUCAAAAACACUUUCUCUGGCCCUAGUUACGGCUGGCAGGAUGUGUGAUUUUUGUUUCCUGGGUUUGCGUUUUGACUAGAUUUCUCAAGCUCAAUGGGCUGUAGCCGCUCUUGCUGUUCCUCUUGGUUCUUUGGGUUGCAGAGGUGUGUGAUUGGUUUGGACUGAACUUAACUGAAUAACAGCCCUGCAAAUAAAAAUCUAUUAAAAGCAUCCAAAAUGA